rnacentral:rRNA from 1 species
GUAGGUGGCAAGCGUUGUCCGGAAUUAUUGGGCGUAAAGCGCGCGCAGGCGGUUCUUUAAGUCUGAUGUGAAAGCCCACGGCUCAACCGUGGAGGGUCAUUGGAAACUGGAGGACUUGAGUACAGAAGAGGAAAGCGGAAUUCCACGUGUAGCGGUGAAAUGCGUAGAGAUGUGGAGGAACACCAGUGGCGAAGGCGGCUUUCUGGUCUGUAACUGACGCUGAGGCGCGAAAGCGUGGGGGGAGCAAACAGGAUUAGAUACCCUGGUAGUCCACGCCGUAAACGAUGAGUGCUAAGUGUUAGGGGGUUUCCGCCCCUUAGUGCUGCAGCUAACGCAUUAAGCACUCCGCCUGGGAGUACGGCCGCAAGGCUG